GUGCUCACUUGGGCAACAUAUGUACUAAAAUUGGAAUGACACAGAGAAGAUUAGUAUGGCCUCUAUCCAAAGAUGAUAUACAAAUUUGAGAAACAUUUUUAAAUCUU
ensembl:snRNA U6 U6 spliceosomal RNA